GCCUCUUUAGCUCAGGGGUUAGAGCACUGGUCUAGUAAAUCCAGGGGUCCAGAGUUCAAAUCUCUGAUGAGGCU
rnacentral:tRNA from 1 species